rnacentral:tRNA from 1 species
GAGGGUAGAGCUCAGUGGUAGAGCAUAUGCUUAGCAUGCAUGAGGUCCUGGGUUCAAUUCCCAAUACCUCCA